GACGAACGCUGGCGGCGUGCUUAACACAUGCAAGUCGAACGGUGAUGCUCCAGCUUGCUGGAGUGGAUCAGUGGCGAACGGGUGAGUAACACGUGAGCAACCUGCCCCAGACUCUGGAAUAAGCGCUGGAAACGGCGUCUAAUACUGGAUACGAAACUGGCCCGCAUGGGCAUGGUUUGGAAAGUUUUUCGGUUUGGGAUGGGCUCGCGGCCUAUCAGCUUGUUGGUGAGGUAAUGGCUCACCAAGGUGACGACGGGUAGCCGGCCUGAGAGGGCGACCGGCCACACUGGGACUGAGACACGGCCCAGACUCCUACGGGAGGCAGCAGUGGGGAAUAUUGCACAAUGGGCGAAAGCCUGAUGCAGCGACGCCGCGUGAGGGAUGACGGCCUUCGGGUUGUAAACCUCUUUCAGCAGGGAAGAAGCGAAAGUGACGGCACCUGCAGAAGAAGCACCGGCUAACUACGUG
rnacentral:rRNA from 1 species